GACGAACGCUGGCGGCGUGCUUAACACAUGCAAGUCGAACGGAAAGGCCCUGCUUUUGUGGGGUGCUCGAGUGGCGAACGGGUGAGUAACACGUGAGUAACCUGCCCUUGACUUUGGGAUAACUUCAGGAAACUGGGGCUAAUACCGGAUAGGAGCUCCUGCUGCAUGGUGGGGGUUGGAAAGUUUCGGCGGUUGGGGAUGGACUCGCGGCUUAUCAGCUUGUUGGUGGGGUAGUGGCUUACCAAGGCUUUGACGGGUAGCCGGCCUGAGAGGGUGACCGGCCACAUUGGGACUGCGAUACGGCCCAGACUCCUACGGGAGGCAGCAGUCGGGAAUAUUGCACAAUGGGCGCACGCCUGAUGCAGCAACGCCGCGUGCGGGAUGACGGCCUUCGGGUUGUAAACCGCUUUCGCCUGUGACGAAGCGUGAGUGACGGUAAUGGGUAAAGAAGCACCGGCUAACUACGUG
rnacentral:rRNA from 1 species